UACAGAGGUCUCAAGCGUUGUUCGGAUUCAUUGGGCGUAAAGGGUGCGUAGGCGGCGCGGUAAGUCGGGCGUGAAAUCUCGGAGCUUAACUCCGAAACUGCAUUCGAUACUGCCGUGCUUGAGGACUGGAGAGGAGACUGGAAUUUACGGUGUAGCGGUGAAAUGCGUAGAUAUCGUAAGGAAGACCAGUGGCGAAGGCGGGUCUCUGGACAGUUCCUGACGCUGAGGCACGAAGGCCAGGGGAGCAAACGGG
rnacentral:rRNA from 1 species